rnacentral:lncRNA from 1 species
UUUCUUGAAGAAAGAGUUCUUGAAAAUAAUUUGUGAGCUUCUAGGAGACAGUGUGGGCAGUCCCUGGCACAUAAAAUGCAACUCACAAGCAUUGGUUUCCUCCACUUGUCUGUAAGGCAGCUAGGAGGGUUUCCAGGGCCCAAUAAUGGGUACAUAAAAAUUACCUGGCUGUAUCAAAGGAAAGGAUAAAAACAGAUUGGACUAUUAACUUGGGUGAUGUAAAUACUGAUAUUUUGGAAUGAGUAAAAUUGCUUUGGAUACCUUAAUUCUGAUGGGCUAUCCUAAAUUUCAGAGAAAACAUGUAAUGCUAGGAUGUCUACAUCAGACAGUAGAAAGCUGCUGAAGGAAGACUCCGGGGAUUAUGGAUGAGCUCUGCCUGUAACUUGCAGUGUGGCCUUGGAUCCAGUGGGCAGAGUCCGGGGCACUUUUGGUAAAGAGGCUGGGACUCUAUUCCCUGGGGUGAUGGAAGACUGGCUCUUGAGCUGCAUCCUUGGUAGCUUUUCCUUCUUCAUCUCAUUGCCAGUGAGGACACUGAGGAGGAGAAGGAGGUGAGGAGGAGGAAAAAGAUGAGGAAAAGGAGAAAACCAACCACGAUCCACUGUCACCAAAUGAGCAUGCCAGGUUGCCAUGCUGCACAGCUCCAAGAAGCACCACUGUCCAUGUGGUCAACAUGGAUGGAUCCCUGAGGAGGUGUCCAGCAGCAGCCUGCAUGCCAUGCGUGGCUCUGAAGUCAAUAAUCCUGGAAAAAGGGUCAUUCCUUCCCAAUAAACGACAGUGGGCUAUCUCCCGCAGACACCCACGAAAUUUCCCUCCUUUUCCUUCCAUGGAGGACUGGUGAAAACGUCAUCAUGGACCUGACCUGCAUCUGGAGACCAUCCCUCAGAGGUGCUGCAGAGCUCCUUUCUGCCCAGGCAUUUACGGUGGGUGAGAACUUGGAGAGGCGAGCUCACGAGGGAGUUGGGGUUUUGACUUGGCCAUGACUACUCAGCUCAGGAUGAAAGCUGAUACUUUCUGAGUGCAUUCUUUGAUUAACCCUUCAAUCCUCACAAUCACCCCAUGUCACCAGGAGGAAACUGAGGCAAAGUCCACACAACUGGCAAAUCUGGUAUGACUCUCUUUCUGUCACAGCAGUUUGCUGGCAACAGACCUACAGCCAGAUGCUCAGGUGAGUUAGUUCCAGUGGCUGCUUUUUUGUGGCACCCAGACCUCCAUUCUCUCCCUUCAUCACUGACCUGUUGCUGGUGCCUUCUUGGGACUCUCCCAAGGCCUUGCUGCUUUUCUCUCCUCCUGGGCUUUGACCAAGGCUUACCCAUGUGGCCACACAGUUUCAGCAACUUGGGGGAAAAUGAUAGGAGGUUGAAUCCCUUUCCCUUAGGAAGGGACUGAGGCUUCUCAUGCUCCAUCUAGCAAUUGUGUCUUUCUCAAAAUGUACAACAUUAUGUUCCACGAGAGACUCAACACACAGGUGCACAGGUGACAUAUAGGUGGCUUUUUGCCUAUGGAGAAAGUGGAGCAUCGGAGGAGCCACAGAGAGGGAAGUGAGGGCUAGCAGGUGAGGGCGGUGUGAUGUUUCUUCUCCUCUCAGCCAAGCUCUGUCGCUCCUUGCUCCAAGGGACAGACUGUGCUCCUGUGGGAAGCCUCUGACCUCACUCCAGUGAGAACAGCAAAGUGAGUGGAGGUGACCCAGCCGCCCUUCUGCCCACCACAGCUGCUUAGCUGGAGGAUGAAAUACACUUAUUAGCCAAACCCAAUGACAGGCCUUCGUUUCUGCUUUUUAAUCCCUCAGUAGUUUAUAAAUGUUCCUUUCUCUUUUGCAGCUUUGAACUACACCCCUUUCUUUAAGGAAUGUCAAAUUAAACUUGAAUACAAAAGAAUAUUUCUCACCAUCAUACCAUAUAAGUUUUUAUGUGUAAUUUUAUGGCUACGCUUUCCGACUAGAUAUUAGUAUUAUAAUAUUCCAAAGCGAAAAGCAAAAAAGAGUUAUUGCCAUUGAGAUGUAAAUAUGAAUAAACACCGUUUUUAGAAUCCAGUGAUUUUUGUCAGGCUUUUGGGAGUGCUUGCUUGUCAUUUUAUAAUUGCAAUGAAACUGAAAAAUAGACCUGAAAUUAUAUAAAAAUACAUCAAGGAG